GCGCAGCAGUCGCGAACCUCCGCAAUACACGAAGUGUGACGGGCCAUCCCGAGUGCCGUCCGCUGAGGACGGCUUUCCCCAGUGUACACAGCUGGGGAAUAAGGAGAGGGCAAGCCUGGUGUCAGCCGCCGCGGUAAUACCAGCUCUCCGAGUGGUGGGACGCUUAUUGGGCCUAAAGCAUCCGUAGCCGGCUGGGCAAGUCCUCCGUUAAAUCCAACGAUUCAAUCGUUGGGCUGCGGGGAUACUGUCCAGCUUGGGGCGGAGAGGCCGACGGUAUUCCCGGGGUAGGGUGAAAUCCUAUAAUCCC
rnacentral:rRNA from 1 species